rnacentral:lncRNA from 1 species
CCGAUGUCUCUCACACUGCAGCAGUCAGUCCUUUCUUCAAGCUGAGUUGGACCGAAUUUUUACCAUUGGCUGUAAACAUGGAUACUCUAACAAAUUUAUGCGGUGCCUUUUUCAUAAGGUCAAGAAUGAUUACUCUAAGCAACUGUUUCCCUCGGAACAACCUGGCCCUUCCUCCCAAGUAGAGCCUGCUCCUGCCUCACAAUAUCGGCUCCCAAUACCGUACAGACUCCACUCCAACCCUGCUAUUAGAUCCACCCUUAAGUCGGUGAAUAAAGCCAGUACCUUCAGAAGAGCUCCCACCGUCUUCAGUUUAUUGCGUAACGAU